UGGUACCUACAGGAGAAGUCCCGGCAAACUCCGUGCCAGCAGCCGCGGUAAUACGGAGGGGGCAAGCGUUGUUCGGAAUUAUUGGGCGUAAAGGGCAUGUAGGCGGUUUGGUAAGUUAAAGGUGAAAUACCAGGGCUUAACCCUGGGGCUGCUUUUAAUACUGCAGGACUAGAGUCCGGAAGAGGAUAGCGGAAUUCCUAGUGUAGAGGUGAAAUUCGUAGAUAUUAGGAGGAACACCAGUGGCGAAGGCGGCUGUCUGGUCCGGUACUGACGCUGAGGUGCGAAAGCGUGGGGAGCAAACAGGAUUAGAACC
rnacentral:rRNA from 1 species